AUUAAACGCUGGCGGCAUGCCUUACACAUGCAAGUCGAACGGCAGCACGGGGUGGUAACACUCUGGUGGCGAGUGGCGGACGGGUGAGUAAAGCAUCGGAACGUGCCCCUGGAAUGGGGGAUAACGUAGCGAAAGUUACGCUAAUACCGCAUAUUCUGUGAGCAGGAAAGCAGGGGAUCGCAAGACCUUGCGUUCGAGGAGCGGCCGAUGUCGGAUUAGCUAGUUGGUGGGGUAAAGGCCCUACCAAGGCGACGAUCCGUAGCGGGUCUGAGAGGAUGAUCCGCCACACUGGGACUGAGACACGGCCCAGACUCCUACGGAGGCAGCAGUGGGGAAUUUUGGACAAUGGGCGCAAGCCUGAUCCAGCCAUGCCGCGUGAGUGAAGAA
rnacentral:rRNA from 1 species